rnacentral:rRNA from 1 species
UUAGUUAAGCAAUGGUGUGACACAGGAAGGCAGUCCAGCCCGGGCGAUGGUUGUCCCGGGGUAAGGCUGUAGGGGGUGUUGUAGGUAAAUCCGCAACACACAUACCCUGAGAGCUGAUGCCGAGCCGUAAGGCGAAGUGGAUGAUCCUAUGCUGUCAAGAAAAGCAUCUAGCUAGAAUUAUUGCGGCCCGUACCCGAAACCGACACAGGUGGUCAGGUAGAGAAUACCAAGGCGAUCGAGAGAAUCAUGGAUAAGGAACUCGGCAAAAUGCCCCCGUAACUUCGGGAGAAGGGGGGCCCUUCGACGUGUAGGAGUUUACCUCCGAAGCGUUGGAAGGCCGCAGAGACCAGGCUCAAGCGACUGUUUACCAAAAACGCAGGUCCGUGCGAAGUAGCAAUACGAUGUAUACGGACUGACGCCUGCCCGGUGCUGGAAGGUUAAGGGGACUGGUUAGCCGCAAGGCGAAGCUGAGAACUUAAGCCCCAGUAAACGGCGGUGGUAACUAUAACCAUCCUAAGGUAGCGAAAUUCCUUGUCGGGUAAGUUCCGACCUGCACGAAUGGCGUAACGACUUGAGCGCUGUCUCAUCCGUGAACUCGGCGAAAUUGCAUUACGAGUAAAGAUGCUCGUUACGCGCAGAAAGACGGAAAGACCCCGGGACCUUUACUAUAUCUUGAUAUUGGUGUUCGGAACGGUUUGUGUAGCAUAGGUGGGAGACUUUGAAGCGGGCACGCCAGUGUUUGUGGAGUCAUCGUUGAAAUACCACUCUGAUCGUUUUGAACUUCUAACCUCGGUCCGUAAUCCGGAUCAGGGACAGUGUCUGGUGGGUAGUUUGACUGGGGCGGUCGCCUCCUAAAAAGUAACGGAGGCGCUCAAAGGUUCCCUCAACCUGGUUGGCAAUCAGGUGUCGAGUGUAAGUGCACAAGGGAGCUUAACUGUGAGACAGACAUGUCGAGCAGGUGCGAAAGCAGGAACUAGUGAUCCGGCGGUGGCUUGUGGAAGCGCCGUCGCUCAACGGAUAAAAGGUACCCCGGGGAUAACAGGCUGAUCUUGCCCAAGAGUCCAUAUCGACGGCAAGGUUUGGCACCUCGAUGUCGGCUCGUCUCAUCCUGGGCUGGGUCCCAAGGGUUGGGCUGUUCGCCCAUUAAAGAGGCACGCGAGCUGGGUUCAGAACGUCGUGAGACAGUUCGGUCCCUAUCUUCUGUGCGCGCAGGAAACUUGAGAAGGGCUAACCCUAGUACGAGAGGACCGGGUUGGACGAACCUCUGGUGUGUCGGUUGUUCCGCCAGGAGCACCGCCGAUUGGCUACGUUCGGAAGGGAUAACCGCUGAAAGCAUCUAAGCGGGAAGCUCGCUUCGAGAUUAGGUUUCCCACUGGUUUACCAGGUAAGGCCCCCAGCUAGACGACUGGGUUGAUAGGCCGGAAGUGGAAGAGUCACAAGACUUGGAGCUGACCGGUACUAAUAGGCCGAGGAUCU